AUACGUAGGGGGCGAGCGUUGUCCGGAAUGACUGGGCGUAAAGGGCGUGUAGGCGGCGCUGUAAGUCUGGAGUGAAAGUCCUGUUUUCAAGAUGGGAAUUGCUUUGGAUACUGCAGAGCUUGAGUGCGGAAGAGGUAAGUGGAAUUCCCAGUGUAGCGGUGAAAUGCGUAGAGAUUGGGAGUAACACCAGUGGCGAAGACGACGUUCUGGGCCGUAAGUGACGCUGAGGUGCGAAAGCGUGGGGAGCGAACAGGAUUAGAUACCCUGGUAGUCCACGCGGGAAACGAUGAAUGCUAGGUGUUGCGGGUAUCGACCCCGGCAGCGCCGGAGUCAACACAAUAAGCGUUCCGCCUGGGGAGUACGGCCGCAAGGUUGAAACUGAAAGGAAGUGACGGGG
rnacentral:rRNA from 1 species